rfam:Rattus norvegicus chromosome 5, whole genome shotgun sequence.
GGGGAUUUAGCUCAGUGGUAGAGCACUUGCCUAGUAAGCGCAAGGUCCUGGGUUCGGUUCUCAGCUCCG